GACGAACGCUGGCGGCGUGCUUAACACAUGCAAGUCGAACGGAAAGGCCCUGCUUUUGUGGGGUGCUCGAGUGGCGAACGGGUGAGUAACACGUGAGUAACCUGCCCUUGACUUUGGGAUAACUUCAGGAAACUGGGGCUAAUACCGGAUAGGAGCUCCUGCUGCAUGGUGGGGGUUGGAAAGUUUCGGCGGUUGGGGAUGGACUCGCGGCUUAUCAGCUUGUUGGUGGGGUAGUGGCUUACCAAGGCUUUGACGGGUAGCCGGCCUGAGAGGGUGACCGGCCACAUUGGGACUGAGAUACGGCCCAGACUCCUACGGGAGGCAGCAGUGGGGAAUAUUGCACAAUGGGCGGAAGCCUGAUGCAGCAACGCCGCGUGCGGGAUGACGGCCUUCGGGUUGUAAACCGCUUUCGCCUGUGACGAAGCGUGAGUGACGGUAAUGGGUAAAGAAGCACCGGCUAACUACGUGCCAGCAGCCGCGGUGAUACGUAGGGUGCGAGCGUUGUCCGGAUUUAUUGGGCGUAAAGGGCUCGUAGGUGGUUGAUCGCGUCGGAAGUGUAAUCUUGGGGCUUAACCCUGAGCGUGCUUUCGAUACGGGUUGACUUGAGGAAGGUAGGGGAGAAUGGAAUUCCUGGUGGAGCGGUGGAAUGCGCAGAUAUCAGGAGGAACACCAGUGGCGAAGGCGGUUCUCUGGGCCUUUCCUGACGCUGAGGAGCGAAAGCGUGGGGAGCGAACAGGCUUAGAUACCCUGGUAGUCCACGCUGUA
rnacentral:rRNA from 1 species